UCAAUUUUUUUCGGGGGCUGGUGGAAACUGGCUGAGAUUGUAACUAUUCCGUUACUGACCGUGAUAACCUGUUGGAUAAUGCCAGCGUAGGGAAUGUGAUUAGGGAAACU
rnacentral:ncRNA from 1 species